CCAAGAUUCUUUGCUGUGUGGGGCUCAGGACAGCUGCUGCCCCGGGAAUAUACUGAGGAAUGAUGACUGGUGCAUAACUGUGUGUCACUGGCUAAGCCUGGCCUGACCCUGUCAAACCAUCAGGGUCACUUUGUUUGCUUGAAGAACCAGUUUCCUCACAGAU